AUCGAACGCUGGCGGCAGGCCUAACACAUGCAAGUCGAACGAAUGGCGGACGGGUGGGUAAUUUCUGGGAAACUGCCUGAUGGAGGGGGCUAACUACUGGAACCGGUAGCUAAUACCGCCUACCAUCGUAUGUGCCCAGAUGGGAUUAGCGACUAGGUGGGGUAAAGGCUCACCAGGGCGACGAUCCCUAGCUGGUCUGAGAGGAUGACCGGCCAAACUGGGACGGAGACACGGUCCAGACUCCGACGGGAGGCAGCAGUGGGGAAGAUUGCACAAUGGGCGCAAGCCUGAUGCAGCCAUGCCGCGUGUAUGAAGAAGGCCUUCGGGUUGUAAAGGACUGUCGGCGGGGAGGCGUUACCCGCAGAAGAAGCAACGGCUAACUCCGUGCCAGCAGCCGCGGUAAUUC
rnacentral:rRNA from 1 species